rnacentral:tRNA from 1 species
GAGGAUAUAGCUCAAGUGGUAGAGCACAUGCCUAGCAUGCCUGAGGUCCUGGGUUCAAUUCUCAAUACCUCCA